ensembl:lncRNA
GUAGAAGUCAACAGUCAGCAGGUAGAAGUCAGCAGGUAGUAGUCAGCAGUCAGCAUGUAGCAGUCAGCAUAUAGCAGUUAGCAGGUAGCAGUCAGCAGGUAGCAGUCAGCAGGUAGCAGUCAGCAGGUAGCAGUCAGCAGGUAGCAGUCAGCAUGUAGAAGUCAGCAGGUAGCAGUCAUGCACUAUAGAGACUAUAGUCUCGGAUUUAGCCCAAGCAGUCUUUGUGGGAAAACAUCUAGAAACACUGCAUUUCAUAAGCCAACAUUCCAACUAGCUCUCACAGAUUCACUGCAGAAUGUGACGUUUGUGUGUGAACGUAAAAUUGGUUAUGUUUAGACAUUGAUUUAAAGUUUAAGUUUUAGGAUAGGGUUAAAAAAAAAAAAAAAAAAAUUCCUUGCAUUGGGGAUUGAACAUGCGACCCUCAGAUCCAAAGGUCGCGGCUUACGCAAAUCCACCACCCCCCAGUCCACAACGCCCUAGCAAAACCCAAGCCUACUUGAUGGUAAUAGCGCCACUUGCCUCUAGCAUGCUGGUUUUGAAGGCAUCUCGAUGUCCUGAGGACCUUGACGGACGUCACAUUUGGAAGUGGAUCUUGAGCGACCUGGCUGAACAUGCAACCCCUUAG